UGAGCUAUUCAGGAGACUACGCCCUAUCUUGCACGUCAUCACCUGCAGCUGGUUCCAGGCUCCAAGGAUGAAUUGGCGGGAAUGGGUCUUUCCCCCUCCCCCCUUUAUAAGCGAAUUUGCCAUUAAACAUUUAAGCUUUGAUCAGGAAUCUUGACUUAGCUCCAUUUCUCUCAACCACCUAGUUCCCCUCUCUUUCAGCCCCAGGCCUGCCACUCAGGUGUACCCUGUCCAUGUGAGCCUUGGGCCGGCUCACAACAAUCUGUCAUCCGGACCUGGACCUGAGGAAGGUCAGGAAGACGCUGAAGGAAUGCUGUUUUGUGUGGAGGUCCACGGGAAGAAAAAUAAAAGGAUUGUAUUGGGCACCAAAGCAACAGGUACUGCUACCCGCUGGGAGGCUGCUGAGCUAUUCCAGAGACUACACCCUAUCCUGCAUGCCAUCACCUGCAGCUGGUUCCAGGCUCCAAGGAUGAAUUGGCGGGAAUGGGCCUUCCUCCUCCUUUAUAAGCACAUUUGCCAUUAAACAUUUAAGCUUUGAUCAGGAAUCUUGUCUUAGCUCCAUUUUUCUCUCAACCGCCUAAUUCCCCUCUCUUUCAGCCCCAGGCCUGCCACUCAGGUGUACCCUGUCCAUGUGAGCAGCAAGCCUGCUCGCAACAGUGUCUGAUGACAUUGCCUUGGAAGUAGAACUUCAGAUGGGACCUGAUUUGUCAUUUGUAAUUACCCAAU
rnacentral:lncRNA from 1 species